GACGAACGCUGGCGGCGCGCCUAACACAUGCAAGUCGAACGGAGCUGAGAGAAGCUUGCUUUUCUUAGCUUAAUGGCGAACGUGUGAGUAACGCGUGAUUAACCUGCCCUGGAGUGGGGGCCAACAGUUUGAAACUACUGCUAAUACCGCAUAAGUCCACGAUCCGGCAUCGGAUUGAGGGCAAAGGAUUUAUUCGCUUCAGGAUGGACUCGCGUCCAAUUAGCUAGUUGGUGAGGUAACGGCCCACCAAGGCGACGAUUGGUAGCCGGACGGAGAGGUUGAACGGCGACAUUGGGACAGAGACAAGACCCAGACUCCUACGGGAAGCAGCAGAGAGGGAUAUUGGACAAUAGGGGAAACGCUGAUGCAGCGACGGCGGGUGGAGGAAGAAGGUUUUCGGAUUGUAAACUACUGUCGUUAGGGACGAUAAUGACGGUACCUAACAAGAAAGCACCGGCUAACUACGUG
rnacentral:rRNA from 1 species